rnacentral:rRNA from 1 species
GACGCACGCUGGCGGCGUGCUCAACACAUGCAAGUCGAACGAAGUGGCGAACGGGUGAGUAACGCGGAAUCAACCUGCCCUUCAGAGGGGGACAACAGCUGGAAACGACUGCUACUACCGCAUACUGAAGGCGGGGAUUGCGUCUGAUUAGCGAGUUGGAGGGGUAACGGCAUACCAAGGCGAUGAUCAGUAGCCGGUCGUAGAGGAUGAACGGCCACCUGGGGACUGAGACACGACCCAGACUCCUACGGGAGGCAGCAGUGGGGAAGCUUCCGCAAUGGACGAAAGUCUGACGGAGCAACGCCGCGUGAGUGAUAACGGCCUUCGGGUUGUAAAGCUCUGUUAAUCGGGACGCGGUACCGGAAUAGAAAGCCACGGCUAACUACGUGCCAGCAGCCGCGGUAAUAC